GCUGGGCAUGGUGGCUCAUGCCUGUAAUCCCAGCACUUUGGGAGGCUGAGGCGGGUGGAUCACCUGAGGUCGGGAGUUCGAGACCAGCCUGACCAACAUGGAGAAACCCUGUCUCUA
ensembl:misc_RNA Metazoa_SRP Metazoan signal recognition particle RNA